rnacentral:lncRNA from 1 species
UUUGGAAUUUGAGAUUUUGGAGUUUGAGGUUUGGGAUUAGAGAGUUCAAAAUUUAAGGUUUAAAACUUAUGUAACACCACUAACCCAAUAAAUCAAAACAUUUCAUAUUUAAUUCUCAUUCAUCAUAUAGAAAUUCAUUCACAUACAUUCAUAUAAUAGCUUAUAGGAGCGGUUAAGGCCUAAAAUAAACAUUAAAAAUGAGUUGGGACUAAACCGAGUACUAAAAAAAUUUACGGAAAAACAUAAAAAAAUUUCACAAUACAGGGGACAUACGCCCGUGUGGCCAGGCCGUGUGGCACACAUGGCCAAUUGACACGCCCGUGUCGUAACUCGUGUAAGCAUUGGAUGUGAGGCACACAGCUAUGUCCCAGCCCGUGCUCAUGCCAAUCAAAGUGUGAUUGUUGCACACAUGGCCAAGUGACAUGCCUGUGUCGUAAGCCGUGUGAGCAUUGGAUGUGAGGCACACUGUGUCCUAGCCCGUGCUCAUGCCAGUCAAAGUGUGAUUGUGGCACACAUGGCCAAGUGACAUGCCCGUGUCGUAAGCUGUGUGGGCAUUGGAUGUGAGGCACACAGCUGUGUCCUAGCCCGUACUCAUGCCAGUCAAAGUGUGAUGGAAUUACUAGUGAUGGUGAACAAAGUGGUGUUGUUGUGGUACUUUGGGUUGCUACUUCUGCUGGGCUUGGUAGGUCUACUGCUGAUCCUCCAAGAUCUUUCAGCGCUUCCUCUAGUCCUUUGAUUUGAUUCUCAAUUAGUUGGCUUUCUUUCAACUUUUGGUCCAAAAUUGCUUUUAUUGCUUUUAUUGUUGCUGCCAUUCCCUCGUCAGUGUAUCCGGCUGUGUCCUGAAAUAAAAAUGGCUUUAAACAUGUAGCUCCUAAUUUUGAGUUGCCACCUGAUAAGCUUGCCUUGAUUACGGUUCCCCUUGAGUUAUAAUUGAGAAAUCCUGUAACAGAGCUUGAGUUUGUUCUGAGUAUAAACUCAAUCGUGAUCUACACAUCUUUAAAGUAUAACUUUUAACUUUUCUUGAUGUUCUUCUCUUGAUACUUUAAUAAAGAUUAUAAUAUCGUCUUUAUAAGCUAGACCUAUGUUUUCUAAUCCUUCUAAAUUUUUGUCCAUAAAUCUCUUAUAUAUACUAGGGGCUUGUUUUAGUCCAAAGGGUAAUACUAUAAAUUCAUAUUGUUUCUGAGGUGGACAACUAAAAGCUGUUAAUGGAAUUGUGUUUUCAUGAAGUGUUAGCUGCCAAUAUCCAGACUUAGCAUCUAAUGUACUAAACCAGUUACAGCCUUUUAAUUAUGCUAAAAUAUAAUCUUUUCUAGGAAGCUUAUAUAGGCGUCUCCUAUGGUAGCAUCAUUCAUUUUUUUUUUAUAAUUUAUGAAUAUUCUUCUUUUUCCUCGUUUUAUUUCAUUAUGGUUCUCUAUAUAGAAAGCUGUGUCUAUGUAGGCCAUUACUACUUUAUUGUGUAUCUUUACCUUAAUGUAUGUACUAUUCUUUCCUCUAGGGCAUGUUUCUUUAUUUGUUUAUCAGAUUCUGUAUUACUAUUUGUUUCCGAUUCUGUAUUACUAUUCGUUUCUAUUUCUAUUUUUUUAGAUAAUAAAGACAUUUUAAUGUAUUUUUUUGGUGAAAAAAGAGAAAUACAUCAACUACGUACGUAAACCAUCCAUUGUCUUUUUCUUCUUGUAGCAAAACACUUAUUUUGUCUGGAGCCUAAUUUGAAGGCUUGUUUUUCAGCUCAAACUGAGUUUGGCUAACCUAUCUGCAACCAAGUUUUGGGUUCUUGGAAUGUGUUUAAUGUAUUAUUAAACUUUCAUAAUCAUCUCUCCAUUCUUUCUUUUUAUCGUCUUCCUUUAUUACAAAUUCUUUUCCUUUAUCUUUGUUAUCCUUACUGUGUAUUAAUUCUUUAUUUCUAAAAAAUUCGUGUAAUUCUUUUAAGGUCAGACAUUUUUCUGUUGUUUUAUCUUUUUUCUUUUUGGUUUCUAUUUUACUUUUUUGUUUCAUUAAAAUCUUCCAGAAUUUCUUGGUGUUUUAUUAAUUUAUCUUCUCAGUACAUGACAUUGUUAUACCUAGGGAGGAUCCAAAAAUUCUUUCAGUGAGAAUCUUGGAAACCCUUUAGGUUUCCAGUCAAUAUACUGUAGAAUUUCAUGCUUUCCAUAUGAUAUGCAAACAUAAAAUAAAUAGUUGUACCCGAACCUGGAUUUUGUUCGUCGAUCACUUGUUGAUGAAGAUGAUGGUCUUUUAAGUUGACGUGAGGCCUUUGUUUUUGUGUUUAUGAUGGAUGAAGUUUAAAACUUCGUGGUAUGGUUAAGGGUAAACGUCUUGGUAAAAUGAAGCCGGAGCUUCCAAGGAUACAGACCUCCUUUUGGUCUCUUUUAUAAACUUUGAAAAUUCUCAGAAACUUUUUACUCUGCUUAUUUGAUAACUGGAUGCUACCUUAU